ensembl:lncRNA
UUUUUUUUUUUUUUUUUUUUAAAACCGCAUCACCCUCUAGUAACUUAGUCUAAGGAUGCUGGUGAUUAACUACUGGAGAAGGAAGCUAUAGGGCAGGAAAACAGAGUUAAAGGAAUAGCUACCCCUGCCAAAUACAGGGUAAUCAGAAAGCACAUCACCUCUUUAAUUAAAUGUAAGAUAAAGGGAAACACAAUUUAUUUAUGAACAUUCAACCCACACUCAAAUUUCAAGACUCCGUUUGCUGUGUGAUGUUGGGCAGAGUCUGCAGCAGUGAGCAAAUCAUCAAGUUGUUUCUAGACCAACAUAUGCCAAGUAUGACACCUACGUGAAAAGAGAACAGGUUUGCUUCAGUGGGUGCUUUUUCUCCCUUUAUAGCAUUAUUACUCCUAUUAAGCCCUAACUACAAAAAUAAUUUGACUCUUUAGAAAAGCCUGGUUAGCUGCAUUAGCAGUCUAUCAUUCUUUUAAGAUCAAUUCAAAUACAUCCUUCUCUCUGAAGUCCUUCCAGCUUCCCUCACCUGGGGAGAACUCUGUCCUCCUCUGGGUUCUGAUAAUGCCUGACUCAGACUCCUAACAGAAGAUUUAUUCUACCGGUUCUAAAGAUAUGAGAGUCUGUCACCAGCCUGACCUUCCUUGAGCACACAAAUCAUCUUUAUUAAUCUUUACGUUUCCCUCAGCUACAUGAAUUCCUGGCUCUUACUGGAUACUUGAUGAAAACUUAUUUCAUCUAUUUCUGAAGAAGAGGAACUAAAUCUCAUGGCAAUCAAAGCUGACAAUUUCUACCCCAAACUUUUCACUUCCAAUUGCAAAUACUCACAUGAUCGCAAGGGCACACUGCCAAUUUUCAUUUUUGGGGGGGUAAAGAUUCCUAUCAUCUAGUUCCAGGGGCACUGUUGUUGAGCAGCACAAUGGUCAAAAGUAGUGUUAUCUGAGAAUGAGAAAAGACGAAGUAUCUGGAAAACCAAUAAAAAAUAAUCAGUCUUCACAGAUGCACAUAUCCGGAACUGAAUAUAACAUAGCCUCCAGUGUUCCGUGCAAAAAAAAAAAAAAAAAAAAAACAUCUUGGAGUUCCUGUUGUGGCUCAAUGCAAACCCAACUAGCAUUCAUGAUGACGUGGGUUCGAUCCUUGGCCUCGAUCAGUGAGUUAAGGAUCCGGUGUUGCCAUGAGUUGUGGUGUAGGUUGCAGACUCGGAUCCCACGUUGCUGUGGCUGUGAUGUAGGCCAGGAGCUACAGCUCCAAUUCAACGCUUAGCUUGGGAACCUCCAUGUGCCAUGGGUGUGGCCCUAAAGAGACAAAAAGACAAAAAGAAAAAAGAAAAAAAAAGCACAUCUUUUGUUCUUUUGUUCUUGUUUUUUUUCUUCCUCUCUUUUAAAGAAGCUUUGGAGGUCUUUGAUUUCUUUUUCAGCUCUGCUUAUUCAGAGUCCCUUGACUGUUCAAUCCCAGCCAUGGACUUUGUUAGUUGCUCAUUUGACAUUUUUUAUCUUUUUAAAAAUACUCCCUAUCUUUAUAAUUAUUUAAUGUUUUGUUCCCCACUAAGAAGAGGGAAGUUUUGUCCAUCUUGCUCACUGAGGUCUGACCAUUGCCAAACACAGUGCCCAGUACAAAACAGAUACUCAGUCGUUUUAGUCAAUGAAUGGAGUACAGAAGGGAAGAAUCUUCACAUGAAGACAAGUAAGACGAAGACGUCAGGAUGGGAGACAGCGACAGGAGGGUGGCAAUGUCUCUUCACCCUCUACUCUUCCCAUUGAGCUGCUUCAGGAAAGAAGAGUCUUUGUUCAGGCACUGAGUUGGGAUGAAGACAAGCGCUUAGGAAGGAAAGUGAAGAGGAAGGCUGGACAUGGGAGAGCGCAUGCCGUUGAGGGAUUAAGGAGUGGGAAUGAACAUGAGGGCGAAAGUCACAGUGUCGUCAGUUGCAAAAGAUGUUGUACCAUCUUCUAAAGGACCACGCUCGCACACACUGGCAUCCUCAAGAUGAUGGUUAUUUGACCUGAGCGAAUGGGGGUGGAUCUGAAACCAGGGGUGAGGCCAACUGAAGCAUGACUUCCUGCCAAAGAUAGGCAGUCUUCAAGUCCAGAUAAAUGAUGGCGGCCAUGGCCAUUGUCUUUGA